AGAAUGCGCGGUGGGACCUUCCCCGCCGUCCUCUCCACGCAUGCGCGUGCUCUCCUCACGGAGGCUGGUUCCCGGCGGGAGGCUCGGAAGCGUUCCAGCUGCGGACGGAACGGACGCGCCGGGGCGCGCGUUCAGUCCUCUUGUCUUAUCCGCCUGUUCGAGAUUCCUAAAGAUGUCAACUCAAGGACAUACUUGGGCCCGUCAGGUGAAGAAGGAGGGUGAGGAAGAGGACCCGCUGGACCAGAUGAUCUCCCGCUCUGGCUGUGCUGCCUCCCAUUAUGCAGUGCAGGAGUGCAUGGCCCAGCACCAGGAUUGGCGGCAGUGCCAGCCACAGGUGCAGGCCUUCAAGGACUGCAUGAGUGAACAGCAGGCAAGGCGGCGAGAAGAGCUGCAGAGGAGGAAAGAGCAAGACAGUGCCCACAGCUGAGCCCCAAACCAUCUAUCCCCAGAGGAUGGCCUGCAGAAACUAGCACCCAGACAAAUCCUAAACAGUGGAAGUGUGGGCCGAAAGAGGAGGAAAUACAGGUCAGAUUGAGGAUCAGACUCCAAGUGUGUCUUGUUCUAGAGCCUAUGCUGUUUUCUGCUCUGCUCUUUCACAAGCUUCUGGUGCCUGGUAUGAUGCUGAAAACAGUAAGUAACCAUAUUUACUGUGUAAAUAUUGCUGUAGUUUUUUUUAGUGCUUUACAAAAGGAAAUUAACCGGUGCAGGUUGCCCUCAGUGUUACAGAUUAGUGUGGUGGUGGUGUUUUUUGUCUCAGCUCUACAGCCCACAGCUAUGGCCCUAGAGUUAAGGUGGUCCGUGCCUGUCCCUAUACAAUCUACACCUUUCCCUGCAGAGAGGCUUGGUGUCAAGGGAUUAAUAGAGAGACCUCUUAGCUGGCUGUCCCCCAUUGGGUAGGCCUAGGACUGACUCAUGAUUUGGCUCUUGCCUGCAAGGUCCUUGGCUGGGAACUUGGCCUGUGUUCAGUGGAAAGAUGCAUUGUACUGUGUUUUACUAGAUGAGUAAUAAGAUACUCUUCCCACUUUCACUCCCUCAGGUACAAUUGCCAGACUUUUCUUUCUUCAGAGCCUGGGUAUUUUGUCUAAAUAGCGAGCUGAUUCUCUAAACCUGAAAUGUCUCAGAAUGAAAGUUUCCAGGGGAGUUAUAAAAACUAAAUGAAUCAUUUUAGAUUUCCGGGGAUAUCAGACAUUUGGAGAUAAAAAUGGCACAAAGAGAUCAAAAUACUACAUGUGAAACAAGCAUGAGACACAUUGGCCACCCCCGUCUGCAGUGUUUUGCAGCAGGUCUAGUUUUAGACACCCCCAAUGCAUGCUUGGAGAGCUUUUCUUCACUUUACAUUCUAGAAACUGUGGGAACCAGGGAUCUCAGCAUUGCUGUGGUGUCUGAAUGGCCAAAAUAUCCAGAUUUCAUUUCUUUCUCUGCAACUAAAACACCCUUUCAAGAUCCACAGUGGGCAAUUUAAAGCUCUGGUGGGGGAAAUAAGGCAUCCUCAGCCAGAGGAAAAGGACUAACAAAGCUGAGGAAUCUACUGACUGUAACUACCCGUAGUAGAACUCCCCAUAUGACCCCAGGUCCUAUUUGAAAAUUACUGAUUUACAAAGAAAUCCAUUUCUAACAAUCACAGUGUGUACUGAACCAGGAAUUGAAUGUCCUGGGGCCAUCCCUGGCUGACCGUGGUUAACUGGGUAACCUUGGACAAGUCUCUUUCCUUCCUACACCAGUUAACUCAUCUGUAAAAUGAAGACCAAAACAUAUUAUCCCAAAGGUUAUGUGUUGAUAGAGCCAAAACUAAAACCCAGCUAUUCUGAUUCCCUAAUCUAUUGACCUCUCUCUUCCCUCCUGCCGACCCCGCUAGUCUUUAUAGCAGUACUAGGUAGGCUAUAGUUUAACCCUGACUAAAGCAGAAGUAUGCGGAAGGAAUGAAGUAUUGAUACAUGCAACAACACAGAUAAAACAUUAGGGUAAAUUAAUAUAAGACACAAAAGGCUACAUACUGGGUGAUAUUUAAAUAGUACUAGCUAGACAGACCAAACCAAUCUAUGGCAAUAGAAAUGAGAUUAAUGGUUGCUUCUGGGGGAAA